CCUUAACCUGCUAAAUAGUUGAACUCACUCAGGUGGGUAACAACUUCUUAGAGGGACUAUAGACGUUUAGUCUAUGGAAGUUUGAGGCAAUAACAGGUCUGUGAUGCCCUUAGAUGUUCUGGGCCGCACGCGCGCUACACUGAUAACAGCAACAAGUAAUUCACCUUGGCCGGAAGGUCUGGGUAAUCUUUUGAAAUGUUAUCGUGCUGGGGAUAGUCCUUUGCAAUUAUUGGACUUUAACGAGGAAUUCCUAGUAAGCGUAAGUCAUCAGCUUGCGUUGAUUACGUCCCUGCCCUUUGUACACACCGCCCGUCGCUAGUACCGAUUGAAUGGCUUAGUGAGACCUCCGGAUUGGCGUUUCUUUUGUGGCAACACAAUCGAUCUGCUGAGAAGUUGGUCAAACUUGGUCAUUUAGAGGAACUAAAAGUCG
rnacentral:rRNA from 1 species